rnacentral:rRNA from 1 species
UACGAAGGGUGCAAGCGUUAAUCGGAAUUACUGGGCGUAAAGCGCGUGUAGGCGGUUAUCCAAGUCGGGUGUGAAAGCCUUGAGCUCAACUCAAGAAAUGCAUUCGGUACUGGGUGACUAGAGGACCGGAGAGGAUAGUGGAAUUCCCAGUGUAGUGGUGAAAUACGUAGAGAUUGGGAAGAACACCAGUGGCGAAGGCGGCUAUCUGGACGGUUUCUGACGCUAAGACGCGAAAGCGUGGGGAGCAAACAGG